GUCAUAUCACGUUGAAACACCAGUUCUCGCCCGGCCACCGAAGUUAAGCAACGUCAAACCUGAUCAGGACUUAUAUGGGUGCUCACUUGGGAAUACCAGGUGCUGUAAG